AGGGUUGCAGCUCAGUGGCAGAGCGUCUGCUUUCCUCGUACAAGGUCUCAGGUUCAAUCCCCAGCAUCUCCA